rnacentral:rRNA from 1 species
GUCCACACCGUAAACGUUGGGCGCUAGGUGUGGGACUCAUUCCACGAGUUCCGUGCCGCAGCUAACGCAUUAAGCGCCCCGCCUGGGGAGUACAGCCGCAAGGCUAAAACUCAAAGGAAUUGACGGGGGCCCGCACAAGCGGCGGAGCAUGCGGAUUAAUUCGAUGCAACGCGAAGAACCUUACCUAGGUUUGACAUAUACGAGAAGCCCCUGGAGACAGGGGUCUCUUUGGACACUUGUAUACAGGUGGUGCAUGGCUGUCGU